rnacentral:rRNA from 1 species
GACGAACGCUGGCGGCGUGCCUAAUACAUGCAAGUAGAACGCACAGUUUAUACCGUAGCUUGCUACACCAUAGACUGUGAGUUGCGAACGGGUGAGUAACGCGUAGGUAACCUGCCUGGUAGCGGGGGAUAACUAUUGGAAACGAUAGCUAAUACCGCAUAAUAUUAAUUAUUGCAUGAUAAUUAAUUGAAAGUUGCAAUUGAACCACUACCAGAUGGACCUGCGUUGUAUUAGCUAGUAGGUGAGGUAACGGCUCACCUAGGCGACGAUACAUAGCCGACCGGAGAGGGUGGUCGGCCACACUGGGACGGAGACACGGCCCAGACUCCUACGGGAGGCAGCAGUAGGGAAUCUUCGGCAAUGGACGAAAGUCUGACCGAGCAACGCCGCGUGAGUGAAGAAGGUUUUCGGAUCGUAAAGCUCUGUUGUAAGGGAAGAACGGGUGUGAGAGUGGAAAGUUCACACUGUGACGGUAUCUUACCAGAAAGAGACGGCUAACUACGUG